GGUCGCUGGCCCCAGGAGCUGCAGAAGCCAUUGUAGGCACCCACACAACUGAAAACAAAGGUGGCCAUCAAGGCUGAAAAGGCACAUUCGUGCUGGGGACACCCCCUUGGAGAUUGGGGCCAGUGACAGCCACCCUAAUGACAUCCUGAUGCCCUGCCAGCAGUUUGGCAACACGAGCGGCCUGCAGCUUGUUGAGAUUCGGCCUUGAUGGACCAGGAAGAGGGAUGGGCUCCUCUGCCCAGAAGCCAGAGGUUCCUGAUUGUCCCAGCUGGAUGAUCAUCUGCAGUGCAAUUCUCAGUUCCGUUCAUUUCACCCACAGCCAAGAUUCUUUUGGUCUUGAUGAUAAACAACAAGGCAGCAGCCAGGCUUGGUGGUAGUGUGGAAUACGUAAGGGAGACUCAAACACAUUCCAGAGUCCUGAGCAAUCUUGGAGAAGGCUUCAAGUUUUGGGUCUCCACCAAACAAGCCAGUGAUAACCACAACUGGACGUCCCCUGAUUAUAUUAAAAGCUGGUGGGGUGAAGAAGAAGAAUACUAACAACAUUCUGUGUUUGCUGCCAGUGCUGAUACAAAUCUGGAUACAUACUGUAGCUGAUCAACACCGGAUGCUCAUACAGAUCCUUUUGAACUGACUAAAAAAAAUCUUUUGAUAUAAAUAGAGAUGUGGCUCUGGAACCACCAGUAGCAUGGGGCUAGUUAUCCAUGCCUGCAGCUGGGGCCAUUGUUUCCAGCAAGUGGCCCAUACUGUGGAGAAGGUUAGUUACAUUGCUGAUUA